rnacentral:rRNA from 1 species
GAAUUUUCCGCAAUGGGCGAAAGCCUGACGGAGCAACGCCGCGUGAGGGAGGACGGCCUGUGGGUUGUAAACCUCUUUUCUCAGGGAAGAAGAUCUGACGGUACCUGAGGAAUCAGCAUCGGCUCACUCCGUGACAGCCGCCGCGGUAAGACGGAGGAUGCAAGCGUUAUCCGGAAUUAUUGGGCGUAAAGCGUCCGCAGGCGGCUCGACAAGUCUGCUGUCAAAGCUCAGGGCUCAACCCUGAAUCGGCGGUGGAAACUGUUGAGCUUGAGUACGGUAGGGGUAGAGGGAAUUCCUGGUGUAGCGGUGAAAUGCGUAGAUAUCAGGAAGAACACCGGUGGCGAAAGCGCUCUACUAGGCCGAGACUGACGCUCAUGGACGAAAGCUAGGGGAGCGAAAGGG